UCAGACGAUGCGUCAUGCUAUCAAUAAGCGGAGGAAAAGAAACUAACAAGGAUUCCCCUAGUAACGGCGAGUGAAGCGGGAAGAGCUCAAAUUUGAAAUCUUAAAGGGUUUCCCUUUACGAAUUGUAGUUUAAAGAAGUGUUUUCUGUUGAGGUUUUGGUAAAAGUUCUUUGGAAUAGGACAUCAUAGAGGGUGAGAAUCCCGUAUUUGACCUUUACUUUCAACUUUGUGAUACACUUUCAAAGAGUCGGAUUGUUUGGGAAUGCAGUCCAAAAUGGGUGGUAAAUUUCAUCUAAAGCUAAAUAUCGGCGAGAGACCGAUAGCGAACAAGUACCGUGGGGGAAAGAUGAAAAGAACUUUGAAAAGAGAGUUAAACAGUACGUGAAAUUGUCAAAAGGGAAGCGUUUGACACCAGUGUUGUUUUUCUGAAAAUCAAUUAAAGAACUGUUUAUGCUAAGUUGUUUAGACUUUAUCAGCUAAUCUGUUUAGUUUUGAGCUUUUCUUUAAUGCACUUUUCAGUUAACAAGUCAACAUCAAUUUCUUUUGCUGUAAAAAAGCUUGAGGAAGGUGGCUUGAGAUUCGUCUUAAGUGUUUAUAGCCUCUUGCCUAUGCAGUCGGAGAGAUUGAGGUCUGCAGCGUAGAUCCUUCGGGGCUAAAUGCAUUUGUGCUAAGUUAUAGCAUUUUAUAGACAACUUGUUGACUAUGAUUUGUCUUGUAGCUUACUCGCUUAUGUUAUUUUACCUACGCUUAGGAUGUUGACACACGCGCGUGCUCG
rnacentral:rRNA from 1 species